rnacentral:lncRNA from 1 species
UUCAAGGAAAGGAAGUGGUGCUCUAACCACUCCUGGGAAAGAAAACAACUGUCCAUUGCACUUUUUCCCUUCCAAAAGAAAACCCCCAAGGAGAUCCAUAAUUAUAUGGAGCAGGGGAAAUUUGAAAGAGCAAACUGAAAACUACAAAAUUUUUUGCUAUUUUUACUAAGUUUUGCUGUAAAGCUCUCUAGAAACCUGAAGGACUUCAGCAGGGACCUGAUUUGUUUUUUUUGUAGUGUUAAACAUCUGCCUUUUAUGAAGAAUGUCCAGUUCAGAAUGAUAUAAGCAUUGAAGUUGAUAGGAAAUGCAAGGGAGAAAUCCUUUGACUGGAAGUGAUUAUUAAAUCCAUUCUACAACACACUUGUUUUGAAGUUCCUCUGUUUGGGGAUGAAGUAUUAAAACAGAGUACAUAUCCAUCAACUCCCUUCCUUAAGCUGUGGGAAGAGAUUCCUUUUCUGAAGAAAGAAUGUUAUGCUGUGAAAGACUGGAAAACAGUUCUGCUACCAAAUAAUUCCAAAGAAU